rnacentral:rRNA from 1 species
GAGUAACGCGUAGGUAAUCUACCCUUAUAUUUGGGAUAACAUUGGGAAACUGGUGCUAAUACCGGAUACCCUUCUUUUCUGCCGGGUUAAGGAGGAAAGGUGGCCUCUUCAUGAAAGCUACCGUAUAGGGAUGAGCCUGCGUACCAUUAGCUAGUAGGUGGGGUAAUGGCCCACCUAGGCUACGAUGGUUAGCGGGUCUGAGAGGAUGAUCCGCCACACUGGAACUGGAACACGGACCAG